CUUCUCUUCUAGUGUAGGUUCUCCCAGCGUGUUUGGGUUGAGGUUGAUACGUGGAUUGGCCUACAUGGUGAUGUGGUGAGGAGCUGGAGAUUUGAGGCUUCAGUUCAAGAUUGGUGGAUUAAAAAUGUGAUUGAGCGCGGAAACCAGAGAAAGGCUAUCACCUCCUUAUUCAUGCUUAUGUCUUGGGAGAUUUGGAAAGAGCGCAACGCAAGGGUCUUUCGCAACACUGCCGCUACAACGAUGAUGGUCGUCGCGAAGAUCAAAGAGGAGGCCCAUAUUUGGGCUAUGGCAGGUGCCACCCACUUGAGUAUUGUAAUGCCGCGAGAGUAG
rnacentral:rRNA from 1 species